rnacentral:rRNA from 1 species
UACGUAGGGUGCGAGCGUUAAUCGGAAUUACUGGGCGUAAAGCGUGCGUAGGCGGUCCGUGAAGUCUGAUGUGAAAGCCCCGGGCUCAACCUGGGAACUGCAUUGGAAACUAACGGGCUCGAGUGUGGCAGAGGGGGGUGGAAUUCCACGUGUAGCAGUGAAAUGCGUAGAGAUGUGGAGGAACACCGAUGGCGAAGGCAGCCCCCUGGGCUAGCACUGACGCUCAGGCACGAAAGCGUGGGGAGCAAACAGG